AAGACAUUAGCAUAUUUCACCAGCACCAUCCAAACCAAGAUGAAUUAGAUUCAUUUUUUAUUUUCCUCUAGGCACCACAGCAAGCACUACUUGUCUACCAGCCACACUGCAUUUCCAGAGGAAAUCACAGUUUGGAAUCCGAGCAAAGCUCUUUCUGUCCUCUUCGGCAAUGGGAAUUGAACACCAUGUCUCGUAUAGUCUUCACCAAAUUCCAGGUAGAAGAAGCUUCUCCCUAAUGGCUGCGGCAUUUCCCCACCUCUUCCCAGACAGCCACAAAAGACGUCACCACUCUCCAUCAAUUCUCAUCUUCUGCUACUUCAUUUAUGAACUUUACACAUAGAGUGCUUUCAUCUGAUGUGUUCACGCAAUAUUUUUUUAACACCCAUCACUCUUCCGUGUCUGUGGUCUGUUCCACAUUAUUUGGAGAAGCUCCUUGUUGGAUGCAGCAGCGUCUUUAUCUAUUCACUAGACAUCGAGUGUUUGAGUUAUCCUCAUUUGGAGUAAUUUAAAAUAAAGUUUCUACAAGCCUC